rnacentral:lncRNA from 1 species
AUAACUAUAACAUCAUCACAACUUGUUCUACAAAAUUACAUCAAGUUUUUUGUGAUCAAAAUGAUGAUCAAAACUCAAGACAAAACCAAAGCAAUAACCAAAAUCUUGAUCUUCUUUUUGAAUUCAUCAUCGAUCUCCUUAGCUGAACCACCACUCUUCUUCAAUUCUCCUUCAAAAGUGAGUUAAUCACUUCCUAUGACA